CCGUCGUCAGUUCGUACUGUGAAGCAUCCUGUUAAGUCAGGCAACGAGCCGAGACCCACGCCAACAGUUGCCAGCUCGUCCUCCGGGAUGGUGGGACACUGUUGGGACCGCCUCUGCUAAAGAGGAGGAAGGAAUGGGCAACGGUAGGUCAGCAUGCCCCGAAUUAUCUGGGCUACACGCGGGCUACAAUGGGUGGGACAAUGGGUAUCGACACCGAAAGGUGAAGGCAAUCUCCUAAACCCACCCGUAGUUCGGAUUGUGGGCUGCAACUCGCCCACAUGAAGCUGGAAUCUGUAGUAAUCGUGUCUCAAAAUGGCACGGUGAAUAUGUCCCUGCUCCUU
rnacentral:rRNA from 1 species